rnacentral:miRNA from 1 species
GUGCAGUGCAGUGCAGGUGCAGUGCAGUACUGCACUGCACUGCACUGCACUGCACUGCACUGCAC